rnacentral:lncRNA from 1 species
GUGUUUUGGUUCUGGCUUUCUAUCUAGUUUGUUUUAGGCUUUGUUUGGAAUUAUGGAGAGAUUGCGUUAUGUGCGAUAAGAAAAUACGCCGGAAAAUAUACUAUUUUUUUCUGUACAUAAUAUUGCGUUUUGCAUAUUACGAUGAGUCGGUUAUAAUAUAUUUUCUGUAAUCCCAUCGGCAGAAGCAUAUCCCUAUAUACUUCUACCCGAAUUCCAUUUUAUCUAAUAGCGUUAAAUAGCCUCAAUACCAAACUAUGCCUACGGCUGCGUUUAGUUCGGGUAUAAGUAUAAGCAGAAAUUACAUUAAUUCUUGAGAAUAAGGUAAAUAAUGUUUGGAUUGUUAGAUUGGAACAAACAGAAUAAAAUUUAUAAUUUUAAAUUAAAAUUAUUUUAUCUAAUUAAUUAACAUCAAAAUUUUACUUAAAAAUAAUUUAAUAACUUAAUAAAAAUAUAGUAAUUAAUUAUUAGCUAUGAAUAUUGUAUAAGAAAAUAAAACUAUAUUAAUUAAUUAAUUAAAUAUAAAAAAUAAUUUAACUUUGUAAUUAGUUAGUAAAUUAUUUUAGCUAGAUAACUAGUAAAAAUUAUUAAUUAGAUUAAUAGAAAUACUAAUUGAUCAAUAUAAACUAUUAAUUUAUGGAUAAAAAUAUUAAAUUAUUAAUAAUUAAUUAUAAAUAAUAAAUAAAUAAAUUAUUUUAUUAUUUAAAUAAUAAAUAAUAAUUUAAAUAUAUUAAUUAGAUUAAUUAAUUAUUUAAUACCAUAAUUAAAAUUAAAUUUAGACUUUAAUUAACAUUGUUCCAACUUGGAAACAAGCUUAUUUCAGAGAAAAGAGUGGAACAACAGUUCCAGCUUUAUACCAGCUUAUUCCAGAAAUUCAAGAAUUAUUGUUCUCGGAUACCAAACGCAGCGUUUGAGAACAAAAAGGAGAACAAGGGCUUAUUUUCCCUCUUGUUCCCAAAUCAAACACUGCCUAAAGACCUUUCUUUACGCCCCCCCUGUUCUCAAACCAAACACUGCCUAAAGUCCUUUCUUGUUUGUUAGUUCAAGUUAUCAUUUUUUUAUUUUAUUACUUUUUUUAUAAGAGUUUAGCUAUAAUAUUUCCUUCACUUGAGUUGUUUGGGUUGUGGGCACCCCUUCACCGUACACUCCCCUCAUCUCUUUGAAAACGUACACCCCUUCACCUCCCUUCACAUCCUCUCAUCUUUUUCUAAAAUGUACACUCCUUCACCUCCCUUCAUACUUUUCCAAAAACAUACACCCUCUCAUCUCCCAUUCUUCAUAUUUUUUCAAAACAUACACCCUCUCAUCUCCCAACCCUUCAUUCUUUUUCCAAAACGUACACCCUCUAUCUCCCCACCCUUCAUACUAAUUACCCUUAUCUCUUUCCAAAAUCCUAAUUACUCUCUUUCUAUCUUAAACUCUUGUUUGCUUCUUCUUCUUCAUCAUCUCUCUCUCUCUCCCCAUUAAUGGAGGAGUUGGUGAUAAUAUAAUUUUUUAUGGAUGUGGUAUGGGUUGCUAGAGUAUUCGCUGCUAUACCAAGAAGCUUCGCUACGACCCCUACGUUGCCCUUCACCAUGGCCUCCUCUCUGUGGGAUGUGAUUGCAGCGCUCGGUUCCCUACCUCCUCUCAAACCUUCUCCUCUGUGACGUCCAAUUCAACUCCUUCGUCAUCGACAUUCUAAAAUCCUCUCUUUACCUUCCUAUGAUUUUUUUUUCUUUUUAAUCAAAUCCUUCUAAUAUGAGAUUCAUUUCUUUGGCUUUAGGAAGAGGUCUGCAAAGCUAUCAUUUAUUUAGAUAUUGCGACAUCAAGAUUGUUUACCAUGCACGCCAGCUGUUCGAUGCAUUAUCUUUGAGAAUUAAAAUAGCAUUUAUAGAUUCCAAAUCAUUAUUAAUAAUUUCUCAAUUUUGAUUUGAUUUAAUGUAGAAAAGAAGCAUGUGACGAUGAAUCGAAAAGCUAUUGAUUAGAAGCCUUCUUCAGGUAAGAUUUUAUAUUUCAAUGAAUUUAAAAAAUAUUUUUGUCCUCUAUUUUUUUCUCUACUAAUUUUAUUUUAUUUUAAUUGCUUUUUUUUUUGAAAUUUGGUUUUGACGUAGAAAAGAAGAAACCGAAACGGUUAUAAUUCGUCGAACAACAAAACCAACCCUAAUGAAAUCACCUCCAGAUUUUUUUCCUUUAUCUUUUAUUCUUGCAUUAAUUUAUUUUUUUAUUUCUAUUUAUACAACAAUUUUUAUUCUCCUAUAGUUCUUUUUUUUCGUUUUCUUUUUUUGUUUUCUACUGGAGUGUAUUCUCAUUUUAAUUUUUUUUAAUAUAUUUUUUAUAUUAUUAACUAAUCAUAUUUUCUAUUAUUUUUUUAUAUAUAUUUAAUUUAUAAAUUUUUAUUAUAAUUUCUAUCCGCCGCAUCGCGUGGAUUGCUAAACUAGUAGCACAUAAACAGUGCAUAUUAUAAACUUUUUAAUUAUUAGAAUUGUAACAGUAUAUAACCAAACAGUAAAUUCUAGGCAUCCAACCAUUAAAAGUUGGCAUCAUGCAUUAUUC